rnacentral:rRNA from 1 species
UACAGAGGUCUCAAGCGUUGUUCGGAUUCAUUGGGCGUAAAGGGUGCGUAGGCGGCGCGGUAAGUCGGGUGUGAAAUCUCGGAGCUUAACUCCGAAACUGCAUUCGAUACUGCCGUGCUUGAGGGCUGGAGAGGAGACUGGAAUUUACGGUGUAGCGGUGAAAUGCGUAGAUAUCGUAAGGAAGACCAGUGGCGAAGGCGGGUCUCUGGACAGUUCC